rnacentral:SRP_RNA from 1 species
GCCGGGCGUGGUGGCGGGUGCCUGUAGUCCCAGCUACUGGGGAGGCUGAGGCAGGAGAAUGGUGUGAACCUGGGAGGCGGAGCUUGCAGUGAGUUGAGAUCGCGCCACUGCACUCCAACCUGGGGGACAGAGCGAGACUCUGUCUCAAAAAAAAAAAAAAAAAAAAAAGAAAAGAAAAAAGAAAAAUGGUCUCGUUAACUUUCACUUUUUUUUGAGACGGAGUCUUGCUCUGUCGCCCAGGGUGGAGUGUAGUGGCGCAAUCUCAGCUCACUGCAGCCUCUGCCUCCUGGGUUCAAACAAUUCUCCUGCCUCAG